UGUUAUAUCAGGUACACAGUAUGGGGUCUC
rnacentral:piRNA from 1 species